rnacentral:tRNA from 1 species
UGGGAUGUAGCUCAAUUGGUAGAGCACUCGCUUUGUAUGUGAGAGGUACGGGGAUUGAAACACUGUAUCUCCA